AACGAACGCUGGCGGCAGGCUUAACACAUGCAAGUCGAACGCCCCGCAAGGGGAGUGGCAGACGGGUGAGUAACGCGUGGGAAUCUACCUAGUUCUACGGAACAACAGUUGGAAACGACUGCUAAUACCGUAUACGCCCUAUGGGGGAAAGAUUUAUCGGAAUUAGAUGAGCCCGCGUAAGAUUAGCUAGUUGGUGGGGUAUGGCCUACCAAGGCGACGAUCUUUAGCUGGUCUGAGAGGAUGAUCAGCCACACUGGGACUGAGACACGGCCCAGACUCCUACGGGAGGCAGCAGUGGGGAAUAUUGGACAAUGGGCGCAAGCCUGAUCCAGCCAUGCCGCGUGAGUGAUGAAGGCCUUAGGGUUGUAAAGCUCUUUCACCGAUGAAGAUAAUGACGGUAGUCGGAGAAGAAGCCCCGGCUAACUUCGUGCCAGCCGCCGCCGUAACAC
rnacentral:rRNA from 1 species